AGAGUUUGAUCCUGGCUCAGGAUGAACGCUGGCGGCGUGCUUAACACAUGCAAGUCGAACGAAGCACCUUACAAGAUCUCUUCGGAGUGAUUGUAUUGUGACUGAGUGGCGGACGGGUGAGUAACGCGUGGGUAACCUACCUCAUACAGGGGGAUAACAGUUGGAAACGACUGUUAAUACCGCAUAAGCGCACAGCAUCGCAUGAUGCAGUGUGAAAAGCUCCGACGGUAUGAGAUGGACCCGCGUCUGAUUAGCUAGUUGGUGAGGUAACGGCCCACCAAGGCGACGAUCAGUAGCCGACCUGAGAGGGUGACCGGCCACAUUGGGACUGAGACACGGACCAAACUCCUACGGGAGGCAGCAGUGAGGAAUAUUGGUCAAUGGGCGAGAGCCUGAACCAGCCAUGUCGCGUGGAGGAAUAAGGAUCUAUGGUUCGUAAACUCCUUUUGCGGGGGGAUAAAGUGCGGGACGUGUCCCGUAUUGCAGGUACCCCGCGAAUAAGCAUCGGCUAACUCCGUGCCAGCAGCCGCGGUAAUACGGAGGAUGCGAGCGUUAUCCGGAUUUAUUGGGUUUAAAGGGUGCGUAGGCGGCCGCUUAAGUCGGCGGUGAAAUUUCCGGGCUCAACCCGGUCACUGCCGUCGAAACUGGGGGGCUUGAGUGCGUUUGGGGUGGCUGGAAUGUGCGGUGUAGCGGUGAAAUGCAUAGAUAUCGCACAGAACGCCGAUCGCGGAGGCAGGUCACCAAGCCGCAACUGACGCUGAGGCACGAAAGCGCGGGGAUCGAACAGGACUAGAUACCCUGGUAGUCCACACUGUAAACGAUGAUAACUCGCUGUUCGGCGAAUAUACGGGCGGGUGGCCAAGCGAAAGCGAUAAUUUAUCCACUUGGGGAGUACGACCGCAAGGUUGAAAACUCAAAAGGAAUUGACGGGGGCCCGCACAAGCGGAGGAACAUGUGGUUCAAUUCGAUGAUACGCGAGGAACCUUACCCGGGCUCGAACGGCAAGUGAAGAGAAGCAGAGAUGCUGACGUCCUUCGGGACACUUGUCGAGGUGCUGCAUGGUUGUCGUCAGCUCGUGCCGUGAGGUGUCGGCUUAAGUGCCAUAACGAGCGCAACCCUUGUCGUCAGUUACCAGCAUGCAGUGAUGGGGACUCUGGCGAGACUGCCACCGUAAGGUGAGAGGAAGGGGGGGAUGACGUCAAAUCAGCACGGCCCUUACGUCCGGGGCGACACACGUGUUACAAUGGUGGGUACAGAGGGCGGCUAUCCGGCGACGGAAUGCAAAUCUCGAAAACCCAUCUCAGUUCGGAUUGGAGUCUGCAACUCGACUCCAUGAAGUUGGAUUCGCUAGUAAUCGCGCAUCAGCCAUGGCGCGGUGAAUACGUUCCCGGGCCUUGCACACACCGCCGGUCAAG
rnacentral:rRNA from 1 species